rnacentral:misc_RNA from 1 species
AAACUACUCAAGCUAAGGUUUACCUUCUGCUUGGUCUUGGAAUUGGAAUUGAAUUUUUCCUUUCUGAAAUACAGUGGCGAAUUGACUGUGCUGUAAACGUAGUAACUUUACCCGUUGAAAGCAUGUUCACAUUCCGCCAUAACCCCCUCUAUUUUCUA